GGGUCUGGAAAAGACACGCUGGGGGCACAGGCACGUCUGCGCCCAUGCCGGGUGAUUUCAGUUCUUCUGUGACCCAGGCAAUGCAGAAGAGGAGACAGGGUCUUUGUGUGAGGUUCUAAGGAGAGCCUUAUUGAGCUUCUUCCUGGAAGGGAUCCAGGGAGAAAAGAGCCGCCCAGCAUGACAAGCUACAUGGAUUCAAAAGAGACCCCACCUGUCUUCACUGACUUCUGUCCUUGUGAACAAUGUCUCUAUUAACCAGGUGCAGACCCUCCUGCAUGGAGAAAUACAAGAGGCAAGACGACUCAGCCUUGUGGAUGGCUCUUUUCUUCCUUGUUGACUAUGGAGGAGCUCAGCUGGAGAGGUUGGCUCUGAGGG